rnacentral:rRNA from 1 species
UGCCAGCAGCCGCGGUAAGACAGAGGAUGCAAGCGGUUAUCCGGAAUGAUUGGGCGUAAAGCGUCUGUAGGUGGCUUCUUAAGUCUGCUGUCAAAUCCCAGGGCUUAACCCUGGCCAGGCGGUGGAGACUACUAAGCUUGAGUACGGUAGGGGCAGAGGGAAUUUCCGGUGGACCGGUGAAAUGCGUAGAGAUCGGAAAGAACACCAAAGGCGAAGGCACUCUGCUGGGCCGACACUAACACUGAGAGACGAGAGCUAGGGGAGCGAAUGGGAUUAGAUACCCUGGUAGUCCAAGGGCGAA